rnacentral:rRNA from 1 species
AACGAACGCUGGCGGCAGGCUUAACACAUGCAAGUCGAACGCAUCCUUCGGGGUGAGUGGCAGACGGGUGAGUAACGCGUGGGAACGUGCCCUUCAGUUCGGGAUAACCCAGGGAAACUUGGGCUAAUACCGGAUACGUGCGAGAGCAGAAAGAUUUAUCGCUGAAGGAUCGGCCCGCGUCUGAUUAGCUAGUUGGUGGGGUAAUGGCCCACCAAGGCGACGAUCAGUAGCUGGUCUGAGAGGAUGAUCAGCAACACUGGGACUGAGACACGGCCCAACCUCCUACGGGAGGCAGCAGUGGGGAAUAUUGGACAAUGGGCGCAAGCCUGAUCCAGCCAUGCCGCGUGAGUGAUGAAGGCCUUAGGGUUGUAAAGCUCUUUCGUCCGGGACGAUAAUGACGGUACCGGAAGAAGAAGCCCCGGCUAACUUCGUGCCAGCCGCCGCCGUAAGAC